ACGCUCGACACCUACGGGAGCAGCAGUGGGAAUAUUGCACAAUGGGGGAAACCCUGAUGCAGCGACGCCGCGUGGAGGAAGAAGGUCUUCGGAUUGUAAACUCCUGUUGUUGGGGAAAAAGAGGAUGGUACCCAACAAGGAAGUGACGGCUAACUACGUGCCACAGCCGCGGUAAUCUGAGCGGGCUGGCAAGGC
rnacentral:rRNA from 1 species